AGGAUAAUCGAUUAUCUUGGCUCUCUGGAAUUUCCAAUUUUGCUGAAAAAUGCCAGAUAAUCGAUUAUUCUAAGGGAAUAAUCGAUUAUCCUCUGCCUCUGUUUUGCAAAAUUUUUGAUGAACAAAAUGCAAUAAUCGAUUAUUCUAUGCUACUGUUUUGCAAAAUUUUGGUAAACUUUUCAAGAUAGUCGAUUAUCUGG
rnacentral:lncRNA from 1 species